rnacentral:lncRNA from 1 species
AUGGAGCCUGCCCCAACUGUGAAGCUCCAAUCCAUCCCAGAAGAACUUACCCAACCUUGCCUUGAAACUCAAACUCCUGGAAUCCCAGGAGGUCAUACCCUCUGUGACAUCUGUAUGAUUCUCUACUAUUCAUUGGAUUGCCCAACUCUAACUUUUGCCCAUUGUUCUGAUCCGGAGGCAAGCUCGCUGAUCUCUCUGUCUCCACAACUAGGUGAUGUUCCCUUUGAUCCUGAAUUAAAUAUAAAGAUUCAGUGGAGAGUUGAAGUAUGCCGAAGAUUUAUCACAACCAACGGGAAACUGGGGAAAUAAAUUCAGGUAGGUGGUAACCAGGAACUUUCAUGGAGCAGAGAGGCUUCCCCACAGCAUUUGCUCCUGGAAUGCUAAGAUGUUCCAGUUUUGUUGUGCAAAUGGCUCAAGCAGAUGAAACUGUGUUUAUGUCACCUGAGGAAAUAACCUUCAAAGAGCCUAAGUUUUCCCUGCGUCCAGAGAGAAAGACACGGUGAACAGAGCAAUCUGAAACAUAGUGUGUGUCCCGUCUGCAGUCUUUCUUUCCUCCAUCAAGCUGCUUCUGGUCAUUUCCCAACAAUGUAUCGUGGAAACAUAUGUAUGUAACAUAUUUUAAGGGCAAAUGAGAAAUGCUCCAUCGUCCUGCUUCAAGAAGUUAAUGGGAUCCAAUAAAUUCUUUUGCAAAUGUUUUCCUUCUCA